CGGAGUCUAGCAUGUGCGCGAGUCAUUGGGAUAAAACCUAAAGGCGAAAUGAAAGUAAAAGUUUGUUUUAACUUAAGGGAAGAUGUGAUGUUGCGCCGCAUUCCCGGGGCGUCUCAUUCUCAUUGCGAGAAGAGGCGCACCAAGAGCGUACACGCUGGGACCCGAAAGAUGGUGAACUAUGCCUGGUCAGGACGAAGUCAGGGGAAACCCUGAUGGAGGUCCGUAGCGAUUCUGACGUGCAAAUCGAUCGUCGGAACUGGGUAUAGGGGCGAAAGACUAAUCGAACCAUCUAGUAGCUGGUUCCCUCCGAAGUUUCCCUCAGGAUAGCUGGCGCUCAUAGCAUACGAGUUUCAUCCGGUAAAGCGAAUGAUUAGAGGCAUUGGGGUCGAAACGGCCUCAACCUAUUCUCAAACUUUAAAUGGGUGAGAUCUUCGGCUUGCUUGAAUCGAAUCAGAGUGCCAAGUGGGCCAUUUUUGGUAAGCAGAACUGGCGCUGUGGGAUGAACCAAACGCAGAGUUAAAGCGCCUAAAUCGACGCUUAUGGGAUACCAUGAAAGGCGUUGGUAACUUAAGACAUCAGGACGGUGGCCAUGGAAGUC
rnacentral:rRNA from 1 species